rnacentral:tRNA from 1 species
GCAUUGGUGGUAUAUAGUGGUGAGCAUAGCUGCCUUCCAAGGCAGUUGACCGGGGUUCGAUUCCCGGCCAAUGCA